rnacentral:rRNA from 1 species
UACGUAGGGGGCGAGCGUUAUCCAGAUUUACUGGGCGUAAAGCGCGUGUAGGCGGCUGGUUAGGUGUGAUGUGAAAUCCUCGGGCUCAACCCGAGAACUGCAUUGCAAACCGGCCUGGCUAGAGUGCAGGAGAGGGAAGCGGAAUUCCAGGUGUAGCGGUGAAAUGCGUAGAUAUCGUAAGGAAGACCAGUGGCGAAGGCGGGUCUCUGGACAGUUCCUGACGCUGA